UACGGAAGGGGCAAGCGUUGUUCGGAAUCAUUGGGCGUAAAGGGCGUGUAGGUGGUUCUGUAUGUCUACCGUGAAAGCGUACGGCUCAACCGUAUUUAGUCGGUAGAAACUGCAGGACUUGAGGCUGGGAGGAGCUGGUGGAAUUCCCCGUGUAGCGGUGAAAUGCGUAGAGAUGGGGGAGAACACUCGUGGCGAAGGCGGCCAGCUAGACCAGUUCUGACACUGAGGCGCGAUAGCGUGGGGAGCAAACAGG
rnacentral:rRNA from 1 species